UUUUGAGUGUUAAAUGAUGAUUCUAGUUUUUGUAGUCUUAUAUUUUCAUAUUACACGUUUUUACUUUGCAUGUGUUCUUUUUUUAUUUUGCUCGAGCACAUAGUUUCUGAUUUAUAGCAAAAUUAAUGACGUUUGUUCGGCCAUUCUGUCGCUUUUUGAUGUAUUGUGAGCUGCUGCGCUUCCCCGAACUUCUAUUCCUCAGCUGUCGCAAAAAACGACAGUUUUGCUUUCACGGAGUCGUGCUUGUUCGACACUAAUUUGUGAGAAAUAAGACGUCGCUGGAAGGCUAUUAGUAGAUUUGCAAAUAUUUGGGAUCUUACGGGCCCGUUAUUCCACCCCAAAAUUUGUUAUAUUUUACAAUUCACUGAUAGAACUUUUUUCCUGUAUGAUAAUCUGUAGAAUGAUUCAAAAUUUGGUUGCAGUUGCAAUUCUCAUAUUAGUCAUGAUCUCCGUGCCCACAUUUAAUUUGAACUGUAACUCUGUAUAAUCGCCCUUUUUAGCGGCCCCUAAUAAACUAAGGAGAGGGGUCAUAACUAUUACUCUAAAUUACAGCCUUAAAGGCGAAGAAAGGAGUGAAAAAAAACUUAUCAAAUUAUGAGAUUGACCCGAUUGGUGGUCAGGUGACGUAAAUAGAAAGGGCUUUGCGAAGAUAGAAGAUAUUGUAACUGCUGGUGGUCGAGGGAAGACUGAUGGAUGUAAAUUGAUAGGAGACAACUCUCCCCGGCACAACUAUGACCACAUUUUCAUCAGAACAAUAUAACCGAAAGUAUACAUCCACGAAGAAAAAUGAAAUUAAUCUUUGAAGACAAUUAAACGAACCGUCGUGUAAGCAGAUGAAACUGUUAUAUCAAAAUUUGCAAAUAAAUUUGCAAAUACAAACUGUACUGAGUGUUUUUGAAUCGACCAUUCUUUCAUUCACCCAGUUAAUUCUUUGAUUCUGCACAUCACAUCGUUAAACAUGAUGUAGAAGUCCCAAAGUUUGUUAUACAAAUUCUGAAAUACAUCCACCCAAAAUAGAACCCUGAAGCUGAAAUUUAGACGGCCUCUCGUGAUAGAAGAAAUUUUUACGACUCCAAAGUAGUGUAUAUCAUAUAUAUCAUUGUCAUAAUUCUAUGUUAAA